rnacentral:rRNA from 1 species
CUACGGGUGGCAGCAGUGGGGAAUCUUAGACAAUGGGGGCAACCCUGAUCUAGCCAUGCCGCGUGAGUGAUGAAGGCCUUAGGGUCGUAAAGCUCUUUCGCCUGUGAAGAUAAUGACUGUAGCAGGUAAAGAAACCCCGGCUAACUCCGUGCCAGCAGCCGCGGUAAUACGGAGGGGGUUAGCGUUGUUCGGAAUUACUGGCGGAAAGCGCGCGUAGGCGGACUAUUAAGUCAGGGGUGAAAUCCCGGGGCUCAACCCCGGAACUGCCCUUGAUACUGGUAGUCUUGAGUUCGAGAGAGGUGAGUGGAAUUCCGAGUGUAGAGGUGAAAUUCGUAGAUAUUCGGAGGAACACCAGUGGCGAAGGCGGCUCACUGGCUCGAUACUGACGCUGAGGUGCGAAAGUGUGGGGAGCAAACAGGAUUAGAUACCCUAGUAGUC